GACGAACGCUGGCGGCGUGCUUAACACAUGCAAGUCGAACGGAAAGGCCCUGCUUUUGUGGGGUGCUCGAGUGGCGAACGGGUGAGUAACACGUGAGUAACCUGCCCUUGACUUUGGGAUAACUUCAGGAAACUGGGGCUAAUACCGGAUAGGAGCUCCUGCUGCAUGGUGGGGGUUGGAAAGUUUCGGCGGUUGGGGAUGGACUCGCGGCUUAUCAGCUUGUUGGUGGGGUAGUGUCUUACCAAGGCUUUGACGGGUAGCCGGCCUGAGAGGGUGACCGGCCACACUGGGCCUGAGAUGCGGCCCAGACUCCUACGGGAGGCAGCAGAGGGGAAUGUUGCACAAUGGGCGGAACCCUAAUGCAGCAACGCCGCGUGCGGGAUGACGGCCUUCGGGUUGUAAACCGCUUUCGCCUGUGACGAAGCGUGAGUGACGGUAAUGGGUAAAGAAGCACCGGCUAACUACGUG
rnacentral:rRNA from 1 species